rnacentral:lncRNA from 1 species
AGUAUACCUAAAUGGAAAAAGCCGGAGGUCUAAAAAAAGUGAAACUAGCUACAAACUUGUGUGCUAUAGCUAGGGGUUUUGCCUUGAAUUGGGUGAAACUUGAAAAUGAGGGGGAUGUCUAUAAAAAGUGAAACUGGUUAGAAACUCAUGUGCUCUAGCAGGUCUUUUGGCUUUAAUAGGGUGAAACUUGAAAAUUAGGGGCAGUACAUCAUUUUUGAUGCUAGAAUGGUUCAAAAGAUGUUAGGAGGUGUGUAGAAGCAUACCGAAACGGAAAAAGCCGGAGGUCUAAAAAAAGUGAAAUUGGCUACAAAUUUGUGUGCUAUAGCUAAGGCUUUGGCUUGAACUGGGUGAAACUUGAAAAUGAGGGGCAAUACCUCUUUUUUGAUGCUAGAAUGGUUCAAAAGAUAUUAGGAGAUGUCUAUAAGCAUACCCAAACAGAAAAUGCUGGAGGUUUGAAAAAAGUGAAACUGGUCAGAAACUUGUGUGCUAUAGCAAAACGUUUUGCCUUAAAUUGGGUGAAACUUGAAAAUGAGGGACAAUACCUCAUUUUUGAUGCUAGAAUGGUUCAAAGAUGUUCGGAGGUGUCUAUAAGCAUACCCAAACGGAAAAAACCGAAGGUUUGAAAAAAGCGAAACUAGCCAGAAACUCGUGUGCGCAAAACGUUUUGCCUUGAAUUGGGUGAAACUUGAAAAUGAGGGACAAUACCUCAUUUUUGAUGCUAGAAUGGUUCAAAAGAUGUUAGGAGAUGUCUACAAGCAUACCGAAACGAAAAAAGCCGGAGGUCUAAAAAAGUGAAAUUGGCUACAAAUUCGUGUGCUAUAGUUAAGGCUUUUGGCUUGAACUAGGUGAAACUUGAAAAUGAGGGGCAAUACCUCAUUUUUAAUGCUAGAAUGGUUCAAAAGAUGUUAGGAGGUGUUUAUAUGCAUACCGAAAUGGGAAAAGCCGGAGGUCUAAAAAAAAUGAAAUUAGUUAGAAACUCGUAUGCUAUAGCUAAAUAGCUAAGGGUUUUGACUUGAGCUAGGGGAAACUUGAAAAUGAGGAGCAAUACCCCAUGUUUUUUGCUAGAAUAGUUCAAAAGAUGUUAAGAGUUGUCUAUUAGCAUACCCAAACAGAAAAAGCCGGAUGUCGAAAAAAAGUAAAGUUAGCCAGAAACUCGUGUCGCAUAGUUAGGGGUUUUUGGCUUGAAUUGGGUGAAAUUUGAAAGUGAGGGGUAGUACCUCAAUUUUGAUAUUAGAAUGGUUCAAAAUAUGUUAAGAGGUGUCUAUGAGUAUACCUAAACAGAAAAAGCCGGAGGUCUAAAAAAAGUGAAACUAGCUACAAACUCGUGUGUUAUAGCUAGGGGUUUUGCCUUGAAUUGGAUAAAACUUGAAAAUGAGGGGGAGGUCUAUAAAAAGUGAAACUGGCCAGAAACUCAUGUGCUCUAGACGGUCUUUUGGCUUUAAUAGGGUGAAACUUGAAAAUUAGGGGCAAGUACAUCAUUUUGAUGCUAGAAUGGUUCCAAAGAUAGUUAGGAGGUGUCUAGAAGCAUACCGAAACGGAAAAAGCCGGAGGUCUAAAAAAAGUGAAAUUGGCUACAAAUUAGUGUGCUAUAGCUAAGGCUUUUGGCUUGAACUGGGUGAAACUUGAAAAUGAGGGGCAAUACCUCAUUUUUGAUGCUAGAAUGGUUCAAAAGAUAUUAGGAGAUGUCUAUAAGCUUACUCAAACGGAAAAAGCCGUAGGUUUGAAAAAUGUGAAACUGGCCAGAAACUCGUGUUAGAAAAACGUUUUGCCUUGAAUUAGGUGAAACUUGAAAAUGAGGGACAAUACCUCAUUUUUGAUGCUAGAAUGGUUCAAAAGAUGUUAGGAGGUGUCUAUAAGCAUACCUAAACGGAAAAAGCCAGAGGUUUGAAAAAAGUGAAACUGGCUAGAUACUCGUGUGAGCAAAACGUUUUGCCUUGGAUUGGGUGAAACUUUAAAAUGAGGGACCCUUGGCAUGUCAAGGAGAGUCAAGGCGGUCCCUUGGCAGGUUAAGGCGGGUCAUGGCGGCCCAAGGCGGGUCAUGGCGGCCCAAGGCGGGUCAUGGCGGCCCAAGGCGGGUCAUAGCGGCCCAAGGCGGGUCAUAGCGGCCCAAGGCGGGUCAUGGCGUGCAAGACGAUCAAGGCGGCCCAAGGCGGGUCAAGGCAGGCCAAGGCGGGUCAUGGUAGGUCAUGGCGGGUCAAGGGCGGGUCAAGGCAGCUCAAGGUGGGUCAAGUACAGGUUAAGACGGGUCAUGGCGGCCCAAGGCGGGUCAAGACAGGUUAAGACGGGUCAUGACGGCCCAAGGCGGGUCAAGACGGGUCAUGUCGUGCCAAAGAGGGUCAAGGUGGCCCAAGGCGGGUCAAGGUGGGUCAUGGCGUCCCAAAGAGGGUCAAGGCGGCCAAAGGCGGGUUAUGGCAGCCCAAAAUGGGUCAAGACAUGUGAAGGCGGCCCGUUGGUGGCCUUAGUUAGGUGAAAGCGGCCCCUUAAUUGCCUAAGGCGGGUCAAGGAGGCCCCUUAGUGGCCCUAGACGGGUUAAGGCUUCCCAAAGCGGGUCAAGGUCGCCCUUUGGUGGCACUAGACGGGCCAAGGCGGCCCUAGGCGGGUCUUGGAGGGUCAUGGCUAUCCCUAGGCCGGUCAUGGAGGCCCCUUGGUGGGUCAUGAAAGCCCAAGGCGGGUCAUGGCGGCCCAAGGCGGGUCAAGACAGGUCAUGGCGGCCCAAGGUGGGUCAAGACAUGUCAAGGUUGGUCAUGACGGCCCAAGGCGGGUCAAGACAGGUCAAUGUGGGUCAUGGCUGCCCAAGGCGGGUCAAGACAAGUCAAGGCUAGUCAUGACGACCUAAGGCGGGUCAUGGCGGCCCAAGGUUGGUCAAGGCGGGUCAAGGCGUGCCAACGAGGGUCAAGGCUGGUCAUGGCGGGUAAUGGAGGGCCAAGGCGGGUCUUGGCGGCCN